UACGUAGGGGCUAGCGUUGUUCGGAUUUACUGGGCGUAAAGCGCACGUAGGCGGAUUGGUCAGUUAGGGGUGAAAUCCUGGAGCUCAACUCCAGAACUGCCUUUAAUACUGCCAGUCUCGAGUCCGGAAGAGGUAAGUGGAACUCCUAGUGUAGAGGUGGAAUUCGUAGAUAUCUGGAGGAACACCGGUGGCGAAGGCGGCGUUCUGGACUGUCUCUGACACUGAAGAACG
rnacentral:rRNA from 1 species